rnacentral:rRNA from 1 species
UACGAAGGGUGCAAGCGUUAAUCGGAAUUACUGGGCGUAAAGCGUGCGUAGGCGGUUUGUUAAGUCUGUUGUGAAAUCCCCGGGCUCAACCUGGGAAUGGCAAUGGAUACUGGCAGGCUAGAGUGUGUCAGAGGAUGGUGGAAUUCCCGGUGUAGCGGUGAAAUGCGUAGAUAUCGGGAGGAACAUCAGUGGCGAAGGCGGCCAUCUGGGACAACACUGACGCUGAAGCACGAAAGCGUGGGGAGCAAACAGG